GAUGAAGAACGUAGCGAAAUGCGAUACGUAAUGUGAAUUGCAGAAUUCAGUGAAUCAUCGAGUCUUUGAACGCACAUUGCGCCCCCUGGUAUUCCGGGGGGCAUGCCUGUCCGAGCGUCAUUGCUGCCCUCAAGCCCGGCUUGUGUGUUGGGCCCCGUCCUCCGAUUCCGGGGGACGGGCCCGAAAGGCAGCGGCGGCACCGCGUCCGGUCCUCGAGCGUAUGGGGCUUUGUCACCCGCUCUGUAGGCCCGGCCGGCGCUUGCCGAUCAACCCAAAUUUUUAUCCAGGUUGACCUCGGAUCAGGUAGGGAUACCCGCUGAACUUAAGCAUAUCAAUAAGCGGAGGA
rnacentral:misc_RNA from 1 species